GGACCUGAAGAUCGGGUUGACACUAUUACAAAGCUUUGACCUGUAUCUGAGAAACUCUAGGAGGAGGAGGAACCAUGAGACCUGUUCGGAACAAGAUGUGGAGGAGAAGGAUGUUACUUCUUUCAGAAUUCAGAGCCUGAUUAUCAGAAGAAUGCAAGAUCUUGAAUUUGCCUGCAGCAAAUUAUUUAUUCAUGCUAGUUUACCAGGUAUACUUAAGAUGAAAGGAGAGCUCACCCUAUUCCGGAAAGAAAUCAAGUUGUUUUUCAAGACAGAUAUCAACGAAUCGUGUAUCAACUUUCUGUUGGACUAUUAUUGGCUGAGGGAUCCAGGACUAGUUAUUGAUUUCAUUGAUUUGGUUUCAAAGAUUCUGAUCGAACUUCUCCUCAAAAGUCAGAUAUCCCAUUUC
rnacentral:lncRNA from 1 species